AUUGAACGCUGGCGGCAUGCCUUACACAUGCAAGUCGAACGGCAGCACGGGAGCAAUCCUGGUGGCGAGUGGCGAACGGGUGAGUAAUAUAUCGGAACGUGCCCAGUCGUGGGGAUAACGUAGCGAAAGCUACGCUAAUACCGCAUACGAUCUAUGGAUGAAAGCGGGGGAUCGCAAGACCUCGCGCGAUUGGAGCGGCCGAUAUCAGAUUAGGUAGUUGGUGAGGUAAAGGCUCACCAAGCCGACGAUCUGUAGCUGGUCUGAGAGGACGACCAGCCACACUGGGACUGAGACACGGCCCAGACUCCUACGGGAGGCAGCAGUGGGGAAUUUUGGACAAUGGGNGCAAGCCUGAUCCAGCAAUGCCGCGUGCAGGAUGAAGGCCUCGGUUGUAAC
rnacentral:rRNA from 1 species